rnacentral:rRNA from 1 species
GACGAACCGAGCGAACGUUGUUCGGAAUCACUGGGCUUAAGGGCGCGUAGGCGGGCGGUCAAGUCAGGGGUGAAAGCCCCCAGCUCAACUGGGGAAGUGCCUCUGAUACUGGCCGUCUCGAGGGGGAUAGGGGCGUGCGGAACUUCCGGUGGAGCGGUGAAAUGUGUUGAUAUCGGAAGGAACACCAGAGGCGAAAGCGGUGCACUGGAGCUGGUCUGACGCUGAGGCACGAAAGCCAGGGGAGCGAACGGG